rnacentral:rRNA from 1 species
AACGAACGCUGGCGGCAUGCCUAACACAUGCAAGUCGAACGAGACCUUCGGGUCUAGUGGCGCACGGGUGCGUAACGCGUGGGAACCUGCCCUUAGGUUCGGAAUAACUCCCCGAAAGGGGUGCUAAUACCGGAUAAUGUCUUCGGACCAAAGAUUUAUCGCCUUUGGUUGGGCCCGCGUUGGAUUAGCUAGUUGGUAGGGUAAAAGCCUACCAAGGCGACGAUCCAUAGCUGGUCUGAGAGGAUGAUCAGCCACACUGGGACUGAGACACGGCCCAGACUCCUACGGGAGGUAGCAGUGGGGAAUAUUGGACAAUGGGCGAAAGCCUGAUCCAGCAAUGCCGCGUGAGUGAUGAAGGCCUUAGGGUUGUAAAGCUCUUUUACCCGGGAUGAUAAUGACAGUACCGGGAGAAUAAGCUCCGGCUAACUCCGUG